rnacentral:lncRNA from 1 species
GGGGUCCAAGAUCUUCUGUUGUUGCCGCAAGACCAGCGAGGGGUCUUCCACCACUGUUGGCUUCCACAAUCCAAGAAUGUUCGAACAGCAUCAUCCACGGUCCUUCAAUCUGAACACAAAUUCUCUCCACAGUGCUGUACCAAAAAGACAUCCACGCCUCCCCUAUGACAACCGCAUGAUGCUCAAGGCGUGCAUCCUUAGGAGGCCAUGAGCAUUCUAGCCGGCGGCACCCACGUGGUCCCUGCGGCUGCACAGCUGCUGGGCUUCCAUGAGGAAGAGGGCAGUGGACAAGAGUCAUGAAGACUGAUUCAGAAACUCCCCUGCAGGAGGAGAAGACGUCUGAGCCAUCCCUGUGCCACCACCAAGAGUCACUCCAGCUUCUGAAAAAGCCACCGUGGGGGGGAGCCGCCUCCAAUUAAAGUCCUUGGUCACAUCA